rnacentral:tRNA from 1 species
ACAUCGGUAGCACAGUGGUUAUUGCAGUCUGCCGGAAACAGAGAGACGCGGGUUCAAUUCCCGUCCGAUGUU